ensembl:misc_RNA
GCAUAGUGUUGCCAUCAGUAACACACCUUAACUUCAUUUCCAUAUUAAAUAGCCACUUCUAUGGAUGCUAGAUUCUAAAAAUAAAGAUAUGAAUUUUGGGUGGUCCCUGCCACUCACCCCAGUUCUAAGUCUAGUUAGCAAGCAUCUGAAGUAAUGCAUGUGGCAACUGAUAAGUGAUUACAAAAG